GAUUUUAUACAGGUGCUUCCUGGAUUUAAAGCCCCGCCAGCCAUGAAACUGCCUCCAAUUUCCUACAAAAUGUUUUCUGAGAGUUCAGUCUUAGGCUCCACCUUGCCUUUUUGAAUAAUCUUGACUGAAAGGAAACAGCUUAGAUUCUGGGGCACCCUUAGGAGCUACAGUGCCAGCCUGUUGUGGCAUGUGGGACGCUGCCUCAGCGUGGUUGAUUCGAACCAGCGAAACACUGGGCCGCCUGCAGCGGGGUGCGCGAACUUAACCACUCGGCCACGGGGCCAGCCCCUUAAGUUGUAUCCAGCGCCUACCACGUGCUGCUGUCAGCCCUCUGGUUAUCAGGGAGGAAUGGGAUCAGGAACCUGCCUUCCAAAUGUUUGAACCCUUGGAGAGAAGAGAAGAUGAGC
rnacentral:lncRNA from 1 species